GCGACCGAUCAGGUUGUUGGUGAGGUAAUGGCUCACCAAGCCUUUUACCGGUGCGGGCCGUGAGAGCGGGAGCCCGGAGAUGGGCACUGAGACAAGGGCCCAGGCCCUACGGGGCGCAGCAGUCGCGAAAACUUUGCAAUAAGCGAAAGCUUGACAGGGCUAUCCCGAGUGCCAUCCGCUGAGGAAGGCUUUUACCCAGUCUAGAACGCUGGGGGAAUAAGGAGAGGGCAAGUCUGGUGUCAGCCGCCGCGGUAAUACCAGCUCUCCGAGUGGUGUGGAUGUUUAUUGGGCCUAAAGCAUCCGUAGCUGGCUAGGUUAGUCCCUUGUUAAAUCCACCGAAUUAAUCGUUGGAUUGCGGGGGAUACUGCUUGGCUAGGGGACGAGAGAGGCAGACGGUAUUUCCGGGGUAGGGGUGAAAUCCUAUAAUCCCGGGAAGACCACCAGUGGCGAAGGCUGUCUGCUAGAACGCGCCCGACGGUGAGGGAUGAAAGCUGGGGGAGCGAACCGGAUUAGAUACCCGGGUAGUCCCAGCUGUAAACGAUGCAGGCUAGGUGUUUGGACGGCCACGUGCCGUUCUAGUGCCGCAGGGAAGCUGUUAAGCCUGCCGCCUGGGGAGUACGAUCGCAAGAUUGAAACUUAAAGGAAUUGGCGGGGG
rnacentral:rRNA from 1 species